AAAUUCCACAUCUUUAUUAUGAAAUGAAACAGGAGCACUUGAGAAAGAAUGGAAUUUCAUUCCCAAAUCACAAACAGGAUUUGCUAUUUCAGUAUGAAGAUUCAACUUGCAUACUCCAAGCACCAACAGAUCCCAAAAGUUCAAAUUAAUGGAAUUAACACGUCCAAUCACACACCGGUUAUGACCAAAGGUGAGGGGAAAAUUAUCACACGAUAAUAAGAUACUGAUAUAAAUGCAUAGAUCAUGAAAUUGCAGAUGGAUUAUAACCAUCGUGAGUAAAAUUGUUACAGCAUUAUUGUUUUCUCAUGGAAAACUGGGAACCUGUAUGAAGGUACAUUAUUCUGGGACCUUGAAAAUUACACUUUUAGACAACUCACAGAUAUUGACUUGCUAUUUUGCCUUCCUUGACAAUGUAAUUCUGUAGAGGAAAUUCUUCUCCUUUGAAGUAUCUAUCAAGCAUGUCUUUCACUCCAGCUGCAUAUCGCAAUUGUGCAUCAAUGGUGGUUCCAGAAAUAUGAGGGGUCAUAGCUUGAUUUGGCAUAUAACGCCAUGGAUGGUCCUUUGGUGCUGGCUGUGGAUGCCAAACAUCCCCACUAUAACCUCCAAUACGUCCACUAGAGCAAGCAUCAACAACUGCCUGUGUAUCCAUGAUUGCUGCUCGAGCAUUAUUAACAAUGAGAACCCCUUUCUUCAUCUUUGCGAUCCUAUCUUUGUUAAACAAUGCCCUUGUCUUCUCUGUAAGAGGAGUGUUGAUGACAACUAUGUCACAUUUGGGAAGCAUUGCAUCGAGAUCCUCUUCAAAUUUUGCCCCAGUUUGAUUCUCCAAUUCAGGGUCCAUCUUAAGUCGAUCAUGAUAGAGGAGAUUACAAUUGAAAGGUUUCAACCGUUGGAGCAAAAGCCUACCAAUGCGUCCAGCACCAACAGUUCCCACUGUCUUUCCUUCAAGAUCAUAGGCUCUGUAAGCAAUACCUGCUACAUUCCACUCCCCAGUAAUAACUUGAUGAUAUCCAGGUAAGAAAUUCCGGACAAGAAUAAGAAUUCUCAUGAGCUCAUCUUCUGCAACUGAGACAACAUUGCUUCCUGUGACCUCUGCAACAGUUAACCCAGCCGCAGCUGCUGCCUUCAAAUCUAUAUGAUCAGACCCAAUUCCAGCUGUCAGAAGCAGUUGCAAGUUUUUGGCCCUUUUGAUCCUUUCUUCCGUAACAUAGGCAGGGUGGAAGGGUGUACUUAUGAGGACAUGGAGAUCAGAAAUAUGCUUUUCAAGUUCACAGUUUGGUCCUUCUUUGUCAUCAGUGACAAUGUAUUGGUGACCUUGUGAUUCCAACCACUCACGUAUGCCUAAAGCUCCCUCCGCAGACCCCAAAAAAUUGGGAUUCAUUGCAGCAUACUCAUUGGCCUUGUAGAAAACACCCACAAUCUUUUUGCUCCCCGCAGAGGCCUAGGUGCACGCAAGCCAUUACAGGAAAAUAAUUGAACAUUCAUGGCAAAACAAAGAUUCAUUAAUCCACCCUUUUGGUUUUGUUUCUUUCUAUGUUUAUCUAUUUUUAUUAUUUGAGCAUUUUCACACCAUAAAAUUAGAAUAAAUUCUUGUUUAGAUCACGAUAGACUUAAGACAGCACAAGAUUUUGAUAUCUGUAGAUAGAAAUCCCUGUAGAAGUCAGCUCUUACCGUUUAGUUCUAAAAUCGCAAUCUUAACUAGUUUUACCAUUGUAUUAACCUCAAAUUUUUUAGGACUAAAACAGAGAAGUUAUUCGGUGUAACCGUAUAUACUUCGAUCCUCCAACGCCGUCGACGAAAAAUUAGGUGGGGGCCACAAGACAAAGGAGCUGGAUAAGGAGUCAGAACGGAGUGGCAUACCAUAUAUGCGCGGUGCACCGCCACGUUAGAAUUCCUUGUACUUUGGCAGACGUUAGCCCACUUAAACGUCGUCGUUUAUCAGUGUUUUGUGAUUCAAACUCUCUGCUUGUAGUCACUUUGACAAUCUAAAACAAGUUAAUUUUGUUAACUUGGGAACUUUAAGUUAUUAAGUGAAAUUAUUCCGACCAAACAACCCCUCACCGAUCAGUUUUUUAACAGUACAAGACUGAAUCUAGACCGUUGAAUUGCCGGAAAUAAAUUUCCACAAAAUUUUGACCAUCCCACAUCAACAGAGUUCUACGAUAAGCGCGAAGGAAGCUAAUUACAUUGCUGAAUGCUGAUCAGUGAUCAGAGGGAUAGCCAUGAGAAGAUAGUGGUUUUUUUGUUCAGCACAUAAUCUUCGAAAUAAAUUAAACUUUAUCAAAAAAAUAAUAAAAAAAGGAUUGGUUUGCUUACAUGCAAGUGUCUAGCGAUAGCUGGAGAGCCAGAAAUCCUAGAAGAUGAAGCGAAAGCGCGAAUUGCAGAGAUAGCAGCACUCCUCAUGGCCAAUUUUGAGCUGAAGAGUUACAAUUGAAGAAGAAACUGAGGCAAGAAAAUGAGAAAUGUGCUGUGAGUGAGGGUGCAGUGGAAAGCGUUUAUAUAAAGCCAGAGUUCAUGAUUUGGGCAACUUUUUCUUCUCCUUCUGUUUGUCCUCUUUCU
rnacentral:misc_RNA from 1 species